AGCUCCAAUAGCGUAUAUUAAAGUUGCUGCAGUUAAAAAGCUCGUAGUUGCAUUUCCGAGGCAAGGGAUUAGUCCGACCUUUGGUGGGUAUUUAAUCCUCUUGCCUCGUCCUUGAGUGGUGCUUCUUGGUAUUAAGUUAUCGAGGAGAUAGCCGCUCAUCGUUUACUGUGAGAAAAUUAGAGUGUUCAAAGCAGGCUUAUGCCGUUGAAUAUAUUAGCAUGGAAUAAUAAGAUAGGACCUCGGUACUAUUGUGUGGGUUUGAGAACCAAGGUAAUGAUGAAUAGGGACAGUUGGGGGUAUUCGUAUUCAGUUGUCAGAGGUGAAAUUCUUAGAUUUACGGAAGACGAACUACUGCGAAAGCAUUUACCAAGGAUGUUUUCA
rnacentral:rRNA from 1 species